rnacentral:rRNA from 1 species
CUGGCCCUGACAUGUCCGGAAUCCUGCAGAGAUGCGGGAGUGCCUUCGGGAAUCGGAACACAGGUGUUGCAUGGCGGUCGUCAGAUCGUGUCUUGAGAUGUUGGGUUAAGUCCCGCAACGAGCGCAACCCUUGUCUUUAGUUGCCAGCACGUAAUGGUGGGAACUUUAAGGAGACUGCCGGUGACAAACCGGAGGAAGGUGGGGAUGACGUCAAGUCAUCAUGGCCCUUACGGCCAGGGCUACACACGUAGUACAAUGGUCGGUACAGAGGGUUGCAAUACCGCGAGGUGGAGCCAAUCCCAGAAAACCGAUCCCAGUCCGGAUUGAAGUUUGCAAAUUGACUUCGUGAAGUUGGAAUCGGUAGUAAUUGCAGAUCAGGUAUGUUGCGGUGAAUACGUUCCC